UAGCUCAGCUUGGUAGAGCACUUGGUUUGGGACCAAGGGGUCGCAGGUUCGAAUCCUG
rnacentral:tRNA from 1 species